GUACACACCGCCCGUCGCUACUACCGACUGAUCGGAUCAGUGAAAUAAAUGGAUCGCUAUCAUCAUGGUGGGUUUCCACUAUGUUGUAUGGGGAGAAGUUUAUUGAACUAAUACGAUUGGAGGAAGUAAAAGUCGUAACAAGGUUACUGUAGGUGAACCUGCAGAAGGAUCA
rnacentral:rRNA from 2 species